AUCACCGUUAAGUUGAAACUAAGUCUUCCCACUCUUUCACAUUUAAUAAGCUUCAUUACUUUAAAAAAAAUUGUUUCUUCCGUUGAUAUUAUUUGGGCUUUUAUGAUUUUCAUUGGGCAACAACCGCCAUGACCAGAUACGCCGGAAGCUUCGAUCACCGGCAAGGACAAAGUCAUAUCAAACACAGGACAACUAUCAAGUUUUCAACUUGAACAAACUAUACCUAAAUGGCGGAGGCUGAGAGCUUUGUCCCUUUUCAGUGCAUAAGGAAUGAUGUCAUUUGGAGACUCAAAUCUUACAAGCAUGAUUGGAUCAGUGGUUUCAGAGCUGAAUUUAGGUAUGUUCAUAUCUCUUCUUUUUUGCUUUUACAAAAAGUGUUACUUCUUCAGAGAGAUAAGGUUGAUCUUCAUUUAUGAAAACAACUAGGGGUUUGUAUUAAUAAUUAGAGAGGUUGUGCGUUUUUCAAGUUUCGUACCCUGAAAGAAACUAUUAUUUUUUUCAUGAUUUGUGCUGCACUUGAAAAGUUAAGCCUGAUUUCUUCUAUGGUGAUGAUAAGUUUAAAUUUUAGAGAUCAUGUAUGUGUUGGAUGGCUUAAUGAUUCCAAGGAAUACAUAGAUGCUAGGAAAGCUAUGGACGAUGUUGGGAUCUGAUUCUGAAGAUCAGGUACUUUUCUUUUAAUUGUUUAUUUACAUAGACAUAAGAACAACUCUACUUACAUUCCAGUUUUCCCGAAUGCACAAGAAGCAUUUAUAAUAGAUUGAUGAUAUAAUGAUCAUGCAAGCCUAUUUCGUAGAUUACCUGAGAAAAAACUUCAGUUAUAUAUCAUGUAUUAGCAUGUGACAUCUAAGAUAACUAUAACAUAGAUUUUUAACCACAAUACAAAUUUGUUAUACUUUGUUAAUAAUUAUUUUUACCACCAAUCAAUUCUGAAAAAUAACAGUAUUGUACAAAUACGCUUAUGAACAUUAUUCAAAAUUAAUUAAUUAUAUUUGUCCUGAAAAAUAAAAGUAUUGUGGAAAAUACGAUUAUGAACAUUAUUCAAAACUAAUUAGUUAUAUAUUUGCAAAUACAUCACACAUAGAUGUAUAAUGAGGAGGAACAAAAAAAAUUGAAACAUAAAUUUCUUAAUACCCUUAAAAGUUAAAAUUGAAACAUAAAUUUCCUAUAACCCUUAAAAGUUAUAAAUAUAAUUGUUCCAAAGCCAAAAUAAAAUUU